GCUUAUGGCCAUACCAGCCUGAAAGCGCCCGAUCUCGUCAGAUCUCGGAAGCUAAGCAAGGUCGGGCCUGGUUAGUACUUGGAUGGGAGACUUCCUAGGAAUACCAGGUGCUGUAAACA
rnacentral:rRNA from 1 species